GACUAAUAAUAAGAUAACUUUAGAUUAUUUUCUUAAUAGUACAUAUAGUAAAUGUAAAAUUAAGAAGCUUGUACAUUCACCACAGCAUGCGUGCAUAAUAUUGAAACAAUACAGCAGGAAUGAAACUAAUGAUUGAACUAAAAAUAAAAUAAAUAAAAUAAUAUGUAGAGCCUUUGGUGGAGCAGUUGAAGAUGGGGUUAUUAAUUAGCGGCCAUGAGUUGGAUCUGGGCUGCUUGGUGGAGAAGGACCAUUUGGGAGUGACUGGAAAAGCAGAGCCACUUCCCUGGACCCCUGUGACUGCAGCGAUAGCGGUCUGCACUCGACUCCUGAUUCAGGAGUUGCAACAAUAAAUAUUGCCACCAUUAUCAUCACAAUUUGCAGGGCCAUCAACACCAUCUUCCUGUAAGACAAACCCAUAUUAUUAUUAUUAUAAUGCUCAAUUAAUAUAUCACUAUGUAUGUAUGUGUAUAUGUUCUUCUCAGGCUAAGUGCGUUGUGUAUGUUGGGGAGAUACAAACUGUGUUUAUAUAGAGGAAUUCAAGUUAGUAGUAGUAAA
rnacentral:lncRNA from 1 species